rnacentral:misc_RNA from 1 species
CAGCGUCAGAUGUGUAUAAGAGACAGGUGAGUCAUCGAAUCUUUGAACGCACAUCGCGCCCUUUGGCAUUCCGAGGGGCAUGCCUGUUCGAGCGUCAUUACACCACUCAAGCCCGGCUUGGUAUUGGGCGGCGGGGCUCCCCCGCGCCUUAAUUUCACCGGCUGGACGACCCGUAUCUCAGUGUUGUGGUAUCAAAUUCGCUGGCGAGAAGGGUGGCCCGCGCCGUUAAAAUUUCAAUCGAGGUUGACCUCGGAUCAGGUAGGGAUACCCGCUGAACUUAAGCAUAUCAAUAAGCGGAGG